GAAAUUCGAUAAGUAAUGUGAAUUGCAGAAUUCAGUGAAUCAUCGAAUCUUUGAACGCACCUUGCGCUCCUUGGUAUUCCUUGGAGCAUGCCUGUUUGAGUAUCAUGAAAUCUUCAAAGUAAAUCUUUUGUUAACUCAAUUGGUUUCUACUUUGGUAUUGGAGGUCUUUGCAGCUUCACACCUGCUCCUCUUUGUUCAUUAGCUGGAUCUCAGUGUUAUGCUUGGUUCCACUCGGCGUGAUAAGUUAUCUAUCGCUGAGGACACUGUAAAAGGUGGCCAAGGUAAAUGCAGAUGAACCGCUUCUAAUAGUCCUUUGACUUGGACAAUACUUUUAUGAUCUGAUCUCAAAUCAGGUAGGACUACCCGCUGAACUUAAGC
rnacentral:misc_RNA from 1 species